CCACACAACUUAUUUAAUAUCUUCAUACUAUGUUUUGAGUGUAUUAUAAGAUCAUUUAAAAAAUGAUUAUGUAGUUUUUACUUGCUGCCAUGUUUACCGUAUCUUGGGAAACCGCAAGUGUCAUUUACAGAUUUUCCAACUUUCGAUUUUGAAAAUUAGACAUGGAACCUCAGGUUUUCAUCAACAUAAAGGAUAUCCAGAAGUGUAACAAUAACAUUGUUAAAAGACUGAAGUCUCUAAACGAUUGUACGAAAUCAACAUGUCAACAAUGCCCAUUGGAUAUUGCACGAAUAGCCAAAGAUGUUGCGGACUUGGAAACUAGAAUGGAAACGCUCACAGCACACACAGAUGACACAAAUGCAUCAGAUAUUGCACGCCGAUUUGAUGAUAUUAAGUCACAACUAGACGACAUACAAAGACUGCUGCAUUUUCCAGACGCCAACCAUGAAUCUAAAAAUGUCACUCGGAUUAUCAGGCAACAUAAAAAGUAUUACAUUCCUGGCAGAGAAGACACUUGGCGAGCAGUGGCAGAUAAAUCACAAGAAAGAGCAUUACCAAACACUGUCCGCUCACGAUUCAUCCCUAUGGUACUGUGUUUGGACAUCUCCGAGAGUAUGUCGAGCAACAAUGGAUGGGGCCAGACCUUGGAGUUUGUUAAUGAUUUCCUAACCGAACUAAAAGAACUGAAAACAAACGACGAAAGAUUGUUAGAUGAAUACAUUGCUGUGACAACAUUCGGGCACGAAACAAAGUUACAGACGGCACUGACGAAUAAUUAUGACGAAAUUAGAGAGACCAUACAGGGACUUAUAUUAGGCGGACCGAGUCCGCUUUAUGGCGGCUUGUUAAUAAGCAUGGCAACAGCACAUAUUGCUAAAAGAAGAUACGUUCCAAAUAUAAACGGCUUAAAUUUAUCUCCGAGAAUAAUUGUAAUCACUGAUGGCUGUCCAACGGACACAAUGCUGCAUGCUGGGCCUGACAUUCAGGACGAAAGUAAAGUGGAACAGACCGAGUCUCACCUAGCAGAAGCUGUUGAAGAAAUUGAUAAACGAGACUUUGAAUUGUUUUUCAUCGGCGUUGGGAAAUGCAGAAAAACGUUCAUACAAAACAUGUCGACGCUUUGCCAGUCUAAGAUUUACUCGUACAAAGAUGGAAGGAGGCUUGCUCGCUUUGGGUUCUUUGAGUCACAGUUGGCUACACAUGGACUUGCUUUGACUUUUUCGUUAACAAACAGGCUCUCCGUUUGGGAUGAGGACGAUAUAAAAUUCAUUCGUGCUGACACGAAGAGACGUUGCGAAAGGCAGUACGGGCCAUUAUGUCAAGAGAGUAAUGACGCUAGUCUGCUGUCACUUGGAACCCGGGUACGCAGGGGACUAGCUUGGAACGAUGGAAACUUUGACCUUAAUGGGCCUGGUACUGUCACCGGAAAUUUUGAUGGGAAACUAUUGGUCACAUGGGAUUUGAAUGACCACACAAGCAGCUACAGGUACACCAGGGAAUGUUGUGAAGUGCAAGCAGUGGAUGAACCAAGAGUGCUAAAUCCUGCUGAGAGAAUGGAGACCGGUUGUAAAGUAAAACCAGGUGGAGAUUGCGUAUCACGGGAAAUAGGUAACUCAAACAGAGGAGUUGUUCUGAGAGUGGAAACACCACAUGCAACGAUUUGUUUACAUGUAAUAGUAUUUUCAACGUUGCUUCUGCCGCGGAUUUAGAUAAUAUACCACGAUACAGCCAACAUACUAUUACGACGUCAAAAUAAAGAUGAAAACGUUCUAGCAUGACAUUUCUUUAGAUGGACAAAAUCAGAUAUCAGGUGGGAUAACGGGCAUAUAGGGAAAUAUUGUUAUGGUGUGGACACCAAAUUUGAAAUCGAGCUUGAGCAAAUGAGCACCCCAGAAGGAGUAUAAUGACGGUACUGGUUCGAUUGACAUCAAAUUAAAAAAACACAAGACAUUCUGGAUUGUCCAGACUGCGCCAUUAUUUACAAUGGCUUACCUUUGUUACCAAUUGCAUGGGAAUGUGAUCAUACGUGUUCUUUAAGCAAUGCAAAGAACAUGGAAGAAUUCUAUGAUAUGAAAAUGUCGUAUUUCGUUUUGAAAAAGUUUUUUAUUGAAUCAAUUGUCUCAUGCACGUGUUGUUCUGAUGAAACAUGGAUUUUUUUAUGAACCACAAUAAAUGGACUUUGUUUGUAA